rnacentral:rRNA from 1 species
AUGGCGGCAUCAUCUGGAGGCAGCAGAGCGAAUCCACGGACAGGCUGGUGGUGGCGGCGCUGCAAUGGCUUAGCCAAGAUGGAGUCUUGGCAAGCAACAAGUGGCCGGCCUCCUCUGUGCGGUGUGGUGAGUGACUGGGCUCUCUCGAUGGCGCGGCUUGGUUCUUUGCGGAGGAGCGGGUCCGGCCGUUGCAAGCCGGCCUUUGGAGUGGGCGUCGGCAGUUGCGGACGAUCCUGGGCCAUGCCGGAGGUGCGGGGUGGCUGUAGUCUCUUGUUCAGGCUGGGAGUUGGUGCGGUGGCCGGGUUCCUCUUGGUUGUGCAACCGGUCGUCGGUCCUCAGCUUUGCCCAUUUCCAGGAGGUGUGGUGAUGUGCGUUUGCGCAGAUGAAAAUCUUGCUUGGCUUAUGUCAGGCCGGCGGUGA